UGCGCAGGUGGCCAAGUGUGUCAGGUGUGAAAUCCCGGGGCUUAACUCCGGAACUGCGCCUGAAACUGCUUGGCUAGAGCAUUGGAGAGGGUAGUGGAAUUCACGGUGUAGCAGUGAAAUGCGUAGAUAUCGUGAGGAACACCAGAGGCGAAGGCGACUACCUGGACAAUUGCUGACACUCAGGCACGAAAGCGUGGGGAGCCAAAG
rnacentral:rRNA from 1 species